rnacentral:rRNA from 1 species
UCGAGGGGAAACGACAUCGAAAGCUUGCUUUUGAUGGGCGUCGACCGGCGCACGGGUGAGUAACGCGUAUCCAACCUGCCCAUCACUUGGGGAUAACCUUGCGAAAGUAAGACUAAUACCCAAUGACGUCUCUAGAAGACAUCCGAAGGAGAUUAAAGAUUUAUCGGUGAUGGAUGGGGAUGCGUCUGAUCAGCUUGUUGGCGGGGUAACGGCCCACCAAGGCGGCGAUUAGUAGGGGUUCUGAGAGGAAGGUCCCCCACAUUGGAACUGAGACACGGUCCAAACUCC